rnacentral:rRNA from 1 species
UACGUAGGGUGCGAGCGUUGUCCGGAAUUAUUGGGCGUAAAGGGCUCGUAGGCGGUUUGUCGCGUCGGGAGUGAAAACCCAGGGCUUAACCCUGGGCUGGCUUCCGAUACGGGCAGACUAGAGGUAUGCAGGGGAGAACGGAAUUCCUGGUGUAGCGGUGAAAUGCGCAGAUAUCAUGAGGAACACCGGUGGCGAAGGCGGUUCUCUGGGCAUUACCUGACGCUGAGGAGCGAAAGUGUGGGGAGCGAACAGG